rnacentral:lncRNA from 1 species
CCUUUUUUUAAAUUUUCUGUAAUGCAUUCUGAAAUAUUUAUGAGCUCUCACCAUGGCCAUGUCUAAUCUGAUGAGUUCAUUUUUGAGUUUUUAAUUUAAAAUACUACAUACAAACUACUUUUCAAAUUUACUACAUCAACUUUUUAGUCUCCUAAAAAUAUAUUCCUUUUUUUAAAUUUUUUGAAAGCAAAUGUGCUUUAUAAUCUAACAGUGAUAUUUCUACUAAUGAAACUCUGUGGAUCUGUUUGUACUCUUUUUCUGCUUUCCUUUCAAAUGGUGGAAUAUCAUUUCCUUGCGUACUUAGAUGCCUUUGAAUGACAAAGAUUUAUUUUUCUCUGAAAAUUAUUAUUGUGCACUUUUGCAUAUUAGUAAGAAGAAAAUUUGCCAAAGAGAAUUUGAAUUUUUUGUGAGUCUACUAAAGGCACCACCAUUCUGGGACCACAUUAUAUUAAUUCUUGGCCUAAAGGUGUUUGGACGUAUGUUUGGACAGCACAUUUAAACAAUUUUUAAAUUAAUUGCUGUAAAUCAUUAAUGAUUGAGUUUCUUUAAAUCUGUCCAAUCUCAAGUCAUUUUUAUUUGCCAUUUCCAGGGAAUGUGAAAUGAGACUAAUUUACCUCUGAUUCUUCUUUAUACUGAGGAGAUAAAUUUUGGUGCUAGCUUUAGGGAAGAGCUCCUGUGUGAUGCCCUAUCUUGGGAAACACUAUGUAUUUCUUUACUGUCCUAUGUGAUGUAUGACCAUAGGAAUCUGCACUCAUUCAUUUUGCUACAUGUCCGUAGGGCAAAAUCAGUAUCAGUGUUUAGGUGUAUUUUGUCUGCUCCCUGCAUUCCCAUGGUUUUGACCUUAUCUUUUACUUUUUUUUGUGAACAUACCAAUGCUUCAAUUUUUUUCCAGUAAUAUAAUCAACUAUACUAUAAGAGAAAAAUUUCGAUAAAACACAAAUUUCAUGUUUUCCUACUCUAAUUGGCUUUUACGUAAAAAUACAGGUAAAAUUUAUUUGUGCUUUUUUGCUAUUUCUGUUUUGCUAUUUUCUGUUUGUCUAUGUCUUCACCACAUAGACACAAUUAGGGAAUGUUGUACACUCUUGUGCCAACUGCUUUGAUAGUAACAAAAUGUAUUUCUCGAACUCCUAGGUAUAAAACUCAAGUAUCCACUAUUUAAAUUCUUUUUUGCUCACUUCUAGUAUGUUUCCAGUCUCAAUAGAAAUCGAUGCCAAUCCAGAAAUACAAGCAUUAUUCUAAUACUUCUCACACAUUACUGGUAUGGAUGACAUUUUCUAGAUCUCCUUAAAUACUAUCAUUUUUCACUACUUGUAUCUUAACUGUUAAGUUCAACAUUUUCUGUAAUAUUAAUAUAUUGUGAAAAUUUCCUUUCUUUCUUAUUUGUCCCAGGUUCAAUGUUUUGCAGUCUCUACCUCACCCUGUGAAGCAUAAACAUUGUACAUGCUGUACAAAUAAUACAUCGUUCAUGUACUUAGAGAUUGCACAAUUUUUAUUUGGUUGACAAUAGCUAAUGUUUUCUUCUUCAUUUUCUAUUUCCUGAUUUUUCUUUAUUUAGUAUAUACUACACUGCCAUAAAAAUAAGAACGUUUUACAAACUAAAGCAAAAGGAACCCUAGGAAUAAAAUGCACAAAUAAAAUAUAUAAACAUACGUUUAGAUGUACCACGUACACUUGUAAUUUAUUUAGACUUUUAAUUUUAGUACAAUUUUAAUUAAAGUCUGUGUAUUAUCUGUCAUCGUCUUAGUAUUUUUUAUAUAACAAAUUGUGUAAAUCAAAAAGUAUCAAUGUCAUUGUAAACUAUCUUGGCAGAGGUUGAUCUCCAAGGAAUAAUUUCUCUCCUAAAUUAUGCCAAUCCAAAUUUCACUCUACCGUCAUUCUUUUCAUCAGUUUCAGAGGAAUAAUAAAUUUCAAAAUUGUUCAAGGUACUUCUUUUAGUUCAAGUAACAUUUGACAGGUGUAAAACUGUAGACAGACUGAUACAAACGUAUUCUAAUUGACUCAAAAUUAUAUGGGACCUAUUUUAAAAUCUAGAUUUUAAAAUGUCGUGUCAACAUACACAUGUUCUCCUUGUGAAAUAAUUGUUUUUUAUUCUCUGGAUAGAAUAAUUUAAUCUUUAAACCUUCCAUUCACUCUUAGAAACAAUAUAUUACAUAAGGAUAUGCUUAUAAAAAUAAUUCCCAACUAGCUUUUCAGUUCAGAAAUAUAUGUGAAGAAUCAUCAAACAUCUAAUGGAUUUCAAGGAGAAAUGGGUUAGUAAUUUAUUCCAUAUGUCUCAAUUUUUCCUAGACUCAAGGCUUCCUUUAAAAUAAUUGUAGGCAUUUAAGAAACCAUGCAAACUAAAAAGAAGAAACUGUGACGCUGCCGCUUAGGCUUUUUAAGUCUUUGGACAUGAUACAAUAUAUUUUUUAAAUUGUAUCUUAAUUAGACAUUGUGAGUUCACCAUCUUCCUGUCAAUACAGCAACCAAGCUGAUUAUCAUAGAUUACAAGUUCAACUAUCAACUGUGUUCUGAGAGUCUAAAAAAAUAAAUGAACGUAUUUGUUUGGGUAUUCUUAAAGCAGGAGUGAGGACACAGCGAAAGUGAGACAAGGAAAAGAGAACAAAAUAAAACAGGAAAGACAGAAAAGCCAAUACCACACGUGUUAAGAGUUUCAAGGAAAAUAUGUUGGGAGUUCCUGGCAUAGAGAAUGUCACAAAGACAUGUUUUCAAUAGUAGUGCUAUCCCGAGGGCAGAGAAGACCCAGAGAAAGCCCAAGUGGCUGCUGGAACAAAAUCAGACACCGUGCCACCUGUCCACACUCCUUGGCUCUGCCAUCAUGCUGAAGAUCGCUUUAAAGGACUGGCUUCCCUCCCCCCAAAAUUAAAAGAGCACAGACUGAGAAACUGAAUGUGGGAGACAGCAGUGGAUUAUGCUGUUCUCAGGGGUCACCUCAGGUUUGGAAGCAUUCUUUCAAAUUAACCCAUCUCAGGCCAUCUGCAGAGAAGAAAGGUGGUACCUAACUUUUUUUCUUGUCGGCAUUUGGUAGGGGUGUUUUAUUGACCAAAUAUGUUCCCACAACCUAGUUUUUUGUGACUAACUAAAUAUAGUAGAGUUUUAAAUUUUAUCAUCAAAAUCUAUAGACAAUUUUUGAUGAAAAUAGACUCCAUCUCUAUGUCCUGCUUUUCUUCUUCUUAUUAAUUACAUUGCUGUAUAAAAGAACAAGACUUCAGCAUCAAGAAUAUCUUGUCUCUUGGCAUUGAAUUUAUACAAGGUGCUCUUUCUUUAAUGCUGUCUCAAAGGACAUAUUUUUACUCAUUAAAAAGGAAGAUCGGAAUCUAGUUGUAUGCACUGCUCCAACAUAUUAAUAAUUAAAAUUAGGAGGUAAAUGUGGUCAAAGCUAUAGAAAGACUGAGAUGUCAUUUAUAUGGAUUACUCUAUAGCACUCUACAAACAGAAAUUGUUAAAUAAUAGUUUAUAUAAAUAUUUUGUAGCAUUUCAAAUAUUUGAGUGCUUGAAGUUUCUCCUCUUCUAUAGUUCAGAUUAUCAAUUUGAAGACUUACUCCGCUAGUUAAUAUGUUUUUAGUCUCGUUUGAGUAUUAUAUAAAAGCAAUUUUCAGUUAAAUGUGUUCCGCUUACAUAAAACGUUACAAAUUAUUGAGGAUUUAAUUACUUAUUCAUGUUCCUGUAAUGUCUUUAGAAGAUUUUCUUAUUAUUACCUAUCAAUAUAUGUAUGCUUUGUCAAAGAAAAAUCAAACAUAUAUAUCAUUGAAAUUGAAACUUUUUAAAAGUACUUAUUAAUUCUAUUGAAAAACCACAUCCAUAGGAACAAUUACAAUAUAAUAUUGUGAACAUGUAAACAUAUACCCUAUGUCUAUUUUAUGUAUAAGCAUGUAUGAUUAAAAAUAUAGUGAAGAAUUUUUAAACCUAGUAUUAUAAAGUAAAAAUUAGUUAACUUCUGAUGAUUAUUUGUUAAUUAAGAUAAAAUUAUUUUGAUUUGGGUGAUUUUAAAUAAAGAAAAAUAUUAAAUUACAUGACAAAAAUUCUUUAUAAAAUGUUUAUGAUUUUUACAUUGGUUUUAUCACUUUUCCCACUAUUUUAUUUUAAGAUGACCUGCCUUGUUUAAAACACUGUAUUCAUCUUAGUUAAAUUAGAUUCCAUUUGUAAAAUAAUUAACAAAUGAUUUGCUCUAUUGUACAGUGCGGUUAUAAACUGAGUCAGUAUCUCAAGAUUUGAUCCCCAUUAUCAUCAUCUGUGGCCCUAUUUGUUUUAUAAAUGUAUUGUCUUUUUCCAUGCCUGUCACAUCUCUAUUGCUCUUUCAUUUUUCUCUUUGUCCCUUAUAGGGAGCAUUGCCUAUCUCUAGAUUAAGCAAAAGUUGCAUCAUAAAAAAGCACAAUAACCUGCUCAAUCUUUCUCACACAGAGAAAUGUUUGUUAAGUAAUUAAAGUGUAGAUGAUGAUACAAAGAGCUUGAUUAAAUUAGAUGCCAAAGUACCCUUGUGAUUCAGAAUAUGAAUGGUAUUUAAUUUCUUUGAAAUCAUUAAUUGCUGAGUGAGAUUAAUUAAUGCCAAUAUUCCAGAAGAUGUUCUACUUAGUGAAAUGUAUACAACGAAAAGCACAAUAACCUGCUCAAUCUUUCUCACACAAAGAAAUGUUUGUUAAGUAAUUAAACUGUAGAUGAUGAUACAAAGAGCUUGAUUAAAUUAGGUGCCAAAGUACCCUUGUGAUUCAGAAUAUGAAUGGUAUUUAAUUUCUUUGAAAUCAUUAAUUGCUGAGUGAGAUUAAUUAAUGCCAAUAUUCCAGAAGAUGUUCCAGUCAGUGAAAUGUAUACAACGUGCAAAAGAUUCAGAACUCUGAAGGGCAACAUUAUUCUAUAAUUAAGAAUUAAGAAUGAAUUCGCAUUAAUUACUGGGGAGAAAUACUUUUUAAGAAUUAAUGACUGAGAAAAUGUUUUUAUUUUUUAUUUAGAAAAUUAUUUUGUGCAUGAGCAUUACCGCAAGUUUUGCAAGAAACAUAAAUUUAAAGAAACAAUUAUGUGCACAAGAUGAAUUUAAUAACAUCUUGAUAUAUUCCACGAUUGCGGUUUUAUUUGGUAAAUCUUUCAAGGCACACCAUUUAAAGAGAAUAAAUGAGUCUUGGAAAUCUUGUAGGUAAGGGUAAAUAUUAGGAUGCAUCCAGUUACAUUUACACACACAUACAGUUACAUUUACACACACAUACACGCAUACAGACUGAGUCACGUGUGUGUAUAUAUAUAUAUGAAUUUACCAAUUGAUGUUAACUAAUAUUUAUAAGAGCCAGUUGGAUUGAUAUAUAUUGUUGAACCUGAAAAAUAUUUAUUAUAUACAUGUUUAAAAUACACACAGAAAUAAAUAGCAAUUGCACUAGGCAUUUGAAACUGUACUAAAAUAUAAGCUGUGAACAUUUUGUGAUCAUUACAAAUUCUUACACUGAAUAAAUAUUUUUAUUUUU